GAGUAGCUGGGAUUACAGGCGUGUGCCACCAUGCCCGGCUAAUUUUUGUGUUUUUAGUAGAGACCGGGGAAGGUAUGGGCCCUCUUUUGAGAAAAAUGCAGAGUGACACUGAAUUUUGUAACUACAUCAGGAGGCUCUUGAACCUUCUGCAGCUCACUCGUGGAGUUUGUAGAGAUGCGUAAUAAUCCGAAGUGUUAAGGAAGAAGGUUCUGUUGAGAAAAAGUUGGAGGGCUGAAAGGGAUGCCUUUCGCUAUUUCGACAUGUGUGGCUGUACCCCAGAGUGCCCUGGCUAACACGCAAAACCAUGAAUUAGGCGGCUUGGCGAGGCUCAGUGGAGGCUGGGGCCGAGAGUCAUGUCAAAGUUUGUGGGGUUAACCUGCACCCAGUGACAGUCAUGGCGAAGUUUGUGAGGUUAACUCGCACCCAGUAACGCUGUUCCAAUGCAAGGUGUGUAUUUGGUGUCAUCCACGGGAAGAGGAAACAGCAAAUUUUCUCAUGGCCUUGGCAGUUCCACAUGAUGGACAUUUCAUAUCUGCAGUUUUCUUCGCAUGAGAUGGCUUUUUUGCACAAAAACACUGGAAUCCAGUGAGCAAGAAUGAUAGAAUGCAAGAUGGAUUUCCACAUGAGGAAGUGUCACGAACAAGCGUUUUGCAUCUCUGUCAGCUGGAUUCCCCCAUGUGUACGUAUGUGAGAACAUGCCGUGUUUCCUGUCUGUAAUGGUAGAGGCAGCCCUGAUACUGGAUUUUCACCUGAGGAUGGAUAGAUCUUCAGGGUUCAAGUGGGUUUGCAUCUGGACUUUAGGGUGGCCCUGUAGGCCCUGUGUGAGAAGCCCCCUUCCCAGUGAACUUUCCCUUGUGUGCCCGCGUGGACAGCCAACAGGGGGAGCAGUGCGAGCGUGAAGGCAGACAGUGGCCUGGCCCAGUCUGAUGAUGGCUGAACUCUGUGACCCCGGGGCCUGUUUCAGCCUCCUGCUGUCAGAAAGCAGCUGUUUGGGAAGAGGCUGUGAUUCGGCCUUGUUUGAGGGCCGAUACUCUGAAUGGGGAGAGACCCACCGACCCUGUGGGGCUGGUCCCUACAUCUGGCGCUCUGACGUGGGGCUCUCCCUCGCUGUGUGAAGUUGCACCCUGAGUGCGGGAUCAGCGGAGGAGUUCAACGAGAGAUUCCUGAGGAUUGCAGUCUAUAAACUUGGUGGAAAAGAACUACAGCCUGUGUGGGUCCCCUCCCGACAAUUAAAAUUGCACCAUAACUCCAAAGAUGAAACGCUCCCAGAAAGAAAAGGCAAAGACCCAUCGGAAACAAAAGAGCAACUUUCACCGCCUGAUACAUACACUUCAUGACAUCCACAUUGAGACAAAAUCUCGCCGUGUGACCUACAACACCUCUCGUUCAACCCCACCUACUUGGGGUCGAAUACAGAUUUUAUCUCAUCAAACAGAAAAAUUCUUAACAGAAAAAGGAAUCCCAAAAAUGACUGGUAAUAUAAUUCUGGCUGCCUUUAUGGUAGUCAGUGCAGCGGUAAGUAUACCACCGGUCGGGGCAACUCAAAAUUAUACUUAUUGGGCAUAUGUUCCUUUUCCCCUUCUAAUUCGGUCUGUCUCCUGGAGGGACUCUCCAGUAGAAGUUUACACUAAUAAUAGUGCAUUCAUGCCGAUCCCUAAUGAUGAUCGGUUUCCAGCUCAACCGGAAGAAGAAGGUAUGCACUUUAAUCUGUCAAUUGGCUAUAAAUAUCCACCAUUAUGUAUUGGGAAGUCGCCUGGUUGUUUAGCUUAUUCUUAACAGAAUUGGAUGUGGACUGUACCGUCCUUUACAAAUGAUUCUUAUCAAGUAUAUAAUGUGUUCAGUACUAACUCUUUUCAACUUCUCACUGUCAAACGUACCCCACAUGAGGCAUGGAGAGUUCCUCUCACUACCAAAACUAAUAAAACAAAA
ensembl:lncRNA ERVK13-1 endogenous retrovirus group K13 member 1